rnacentral:lncRNA from 10 species
CAGGAGGAGCAAGUCCGAUGGAGAGGCUAAGCGUUCAAGAGACCCUCCUGCCUCAGCCUCCCAAGUAACUGGGAUUAGAGAGUCUUGCUCUAUCGCCCAGGAUAGAGUGCAAUGGCGCGAUCUCGGCUCACUGCAACCUCCGCCUCCCAGUUUCAAGCGAUUCUCCUGCCUCAGCCUCCCAACUGAACCUUCACCUAGCCCCAGGAUUACAAGGAAAAGCACCAGGCAAAC